rnacentral:sRNA from 1 species
UCUACGGAAACUGUACUUUGAUUGGCAA